rnacentral:RNase_P_RNA from 1 species
AACAGCAGCAUUCCUACGAGAUACCUGUUUGCAAAAGCACGAGUAUUCGUUAUUGAAGACAGGUGGGAAAUUCGGUGGAAUUCAGCGAAGCGAUUUAACGCCAGGGGCUUCGGCCCUGAUUUCCGUGAGGAAGUACCAUCGGAAGAUGGUCGUGGGUGUUGUUAUCAGAAAUGUACCAGAUGAAGUCCUUCGGGGCUCCAUUUGGAUGGGAAUGGCAACAGAAGUUUCGUUUGACUUUGCCAAAUUUGGCAAAGGUCUGUUGAGUGCAAUCGUAGGGCGUCGCUCCUUAGUGACGAACCCGAUACCGAUUAUUGUUGGUGUU